rnacentral:rRNA from 1 species
UACAGAGGUCCCAAGCGUUGUUCGGAUUCACUGGGCGUAAAGGGUGCGCAGGUGGUCGGGUAAGUCUGAUGUGAAAUCCCGCAGCUUAACUGCGGAAUGGCAUUGGAUACUAUUUGGCUAGAGGGUUGGAGGGGGGACUGGAAUUCUCGGUGUAGCAGUGAAAUGCGUAGAUAUCGAGAGGAACACCAGUGGCGAAGGCGAGUCCCUGGACAACUCCUGGCGCUGAGGCACGAAAGCUAGGGGAGCAAACAGG